rfam:Oligotropha carboxidovorans OM5, complete genome.
CGAACCGUCCGCUUGGGAGAGCGAACGGUUUAACGGACCACCAUCGGCUUUGGGAGAGGCCGGUCGCGGUUUUGCAAGGGGAGAUCUGCGAUGGAGAACACGAGUCUCGUCGCGCUAUCGCGCCAGAUGACGCUUG